GAUGAACGCUAGCGGCAGGCUUAAUACAUGCAAGUCGAGGGACAGCACAGGUAGCAAUACUGGGUGGUAACCGGCAAACGGGUGCGGAACACGUACACAACCUUCCUUUAAGUGGGGGAUAGCCCAGAGAAAUUUGGAUUAAUACCCCGUAAUAUAGUUGAAUGGCAUCAUUUGAUUAUUAUAGCUACGGCGCUUAAUGAUGGGUGUGCGGCUGAUUAGAUAGUUGGCGGGGUAACGGCCCACCAAGUCUACGAUCAGUAGCUGAUGUGAGAGCAUGAUCAGCAACACGGGCACUGAGACACGGGCCCGACUCCUACGGGAGGCAGCAGUAAGGAAUAUUGGUCAAUGGACGCAAGUCUGAACCAGCCAUGCCGCGUGAAGGAUUAAGGUCCUCUGGAUUGUAAACUUCUUUUAUUUGGGACGAAAAAGGGCCUUUCUAGGUCAACUGACGGUACCAGAUGAAUAAGCACCGGCUAACUCCGUGCCAGCCGCCCGCGGUAAUAC
rnacentral:rRNA from 1 species